rnacentral:lncRNA from 1 species
CACCCGAACCUAAGGAAGGAGCAGCAGCACCGGCGGCACCAGUAAAAGGCCAUGUUGGUAGGGGAGCUCCUGGCCCCAUGGACAGACAAAGAGAACCUCGGGGGUGGCAGGCGGGAGCCCAGGCAUCCUGAGGACAGGCAGCGGCCCUUCUACUGCACCGCUUUCACCCUGUUGCAGGUCCAGGAGCAGGAGAGCAUCUUACAACAAAUUCCCUACUCAGGCAUGUUAGCAUGAUCCUCUUCCCUCCCUUCCUGAGCCAAAGGCCAACUAGGGAUCCGAAGGCCGUGGGGCCCACCUGUCCUCAGGCCCCAGGGUAGAGGCAAUGCCUCCUGGGCACCAAGAAAGGAGCUUGCAAGAUUCAUGCAUGUGACUGAGGCCAGCAUGCAGAUUAGCCCUGAACUAACUACUGCCAAUCCUACUCUUUUUGCUGAGGAAGACUGGUCCUGAGCUAACAUCCAUGCCCAUCUUCCUCUACUUUAUAUGUGGGACGCCCACCACAGCAUGGCUUUUGCCAAGCGGUGCCAUGUCUGCACCCAGGAUCCAAGCCGGCGAACCACGGGCCGCUGAGAAGCGGAACGUGCGCACUUAACUGCUGCGCCACCAGGCUGGCCCCUAGAAAUAUAUUCUACAUGAUAUAAAUAAAUAUGUGCACAUUUGCAUGUGUAUACAUACACAUGCAUAUAUAUAUAUGUAUUAGGGAGGACUUCUGUGUGGAGACUAUACGAUGGAAAUAAUAACACUAUCUAUGUCAUAGAACUGAUGAGGGGAACAAAUGACAUAAUGCACAUAAGUACCCAGCACAACGCCCAGCGACAG